GCAGCUCAGGGGUAGAGCACCCGCUCGCUGCACGGAAGAUCCCAUGUUCAGUCCCUGGCGUCAGCA
rnacentral:tRNA from 1 species